CAUCUUGUGAUGCAAUCACAAGCUUUAUGACAUACAAGCACUGCCGUGACGAAGUGUGGAAAACUGACUUCACCAAAUAAGCAAUGUUGCAAUGAAAAUCUGCUCAGCAGAGAUUAUAUUGACUAAAGAAGAGAAAUCCAGUCAGCUGAGGAGAAAAAUACAGAACAAUGAGAGAAUACUGUUUCCAGCACUCGGAUUAACAAGCUGAAUUGCAGUAGAAAUCAUUGCACAGAAAGAAAGCUGUUAUAUAAGCUUUGACAAGGUGCCUUACAAUUUCUUGAGCAUACCCACCUGUGGAAAAGAAGAACACAUCAUAUCUUAUGGGAGACAACUAGCAAUCCUUUUCUUCAGGAGUCAAGGCAUAACGUACCAGAUAAUGUGCCAGAAGACAUAAAGAUAAACACAUUCUGAUAUCCUUCUCUUCUUGCAGUAAAGAUAAAUUAUUCUAAGUUCAUUUCUUUUUUGAAACAUUUUCUUCAUCCAUACAGUGGGGUACAGAAAUGCUUUGGGGAAAGGAAUAUUUUACAUUUAUGUACUAUUUGCUUUAGUUUUGCUUUUGUACUCUCCAUUCAUGUGACCAAAUUUCUUCAUAUUUCCCUGUGCCUCAGUUUGUCUAGAAAACUAAGAUUCUUCUUUUACAUUCGAGUUAGUAUAGACUUAGUUAUUGAUGCUUAAAAUGCCUUCAUGUUUCAUACCUUAGGAAACUUAGAUCCCCUCUUCCAAUUCAUAAGCAUACCUGAAUCUUAGUUAUUUCUUCUCUGCUGUUCCCUUUCUCCUUCUGUAGAAUCCCCUUUGCCAAAAAUAACAGGGUUAAUAUACAGUCCACUGACCAAGUGCACCUGGCACUGAGAUAUGUGAUAGAAAAAGGAUGUCCUCCAGUGCAGCCAUGGAUGGUUCAUGCUUGAAGAACUCAUGCUAAGAAGCCCAUACCUGUGGCUUUUUUCCCUUUCCUGUCAUGCAAUGCAUGUACUGUUUUCUUUCCACUUGCCCUGGGGGGGUGGGUUUUAAGCCUUGGGAAAGUAGGAGUGUGAGCACUCAGAAGACCUGAUCUGAAACCCUGGAUGACUUUAAGGUCAAAUGAGUUGCUUGUUUUAGAAACACAGUGAGACUACUCCCUGUGCUUUUCAAGUGUAUAGGUACCACUUCAAAAAUGUACUCCUUUACAAUUAUUGCCAUCCUUUAUGUUUUGUCAAAAAUAUUUUGUGGAUUAAAGAAAUAUGUUCACUUCUCAUUACCUUCUACUUCUGUUUUAGCUGGAUGAGCUUUCCAAGCCACUUCUAUAUAUGCUGGAAACUUGUACAGACAUACAAGAGACAGCCUGGUGCUGCAAUGAAUGCUGAGAGGUUAAAUGGCAGAUGUGAAAAACACUUCUUUAAUUUGCAGAAUACAUGAGAGAUGAUGAUACACUGUUCUUAUCACAAGAAGGAAAAGGGAACAGAAAAAUACCCUCACGAUUCAACUGUUUGCAGUCUUACUGUGCGGAUGACUCACUUGCAUCCAUUUUGAUAGUACUAAACUAUUUAACAUUUUUAAAAAAUAUAUAUUCUCUGUGAUCCAAGCAAUUGGUGACUUUUAUUCCUGCAUGGUCAUACUUAAUUAUUCUCUAUGUGUUUCACACAUCAAUAAGGUCGCCUAAAUAUAGCAGUAUUAGCUUUUAAUGGAUGUGAUAGAAAUUAUUUAAGUGAGAUUAGUUUCGCAGUAUUCUAAAGAAUCCUAAAGGCUGGAUGCUUAUGAACAAGGUGGAACAUAGCACUUUUCCAAUCAUAAGCUUUAGCAGCAUCCAGUUCAGAGAAUCAAGCAGCAUGAAUAAAGCAAAAUGGGGUGCUCUCCGAAUCUGAUGCCAUGGAGUGGGGUUUUACUGCUUGUUCAGAUAGCAUCUUGCUGUCUGUAAGGACCAUAGUAACUGAGAAAUGCUUGAGACGUGUUCCUGUAAUUAUUAUAGAAUGUUUUUAUUUCUCAAAGCCCACCCUUGCAGUGCAGUGAAGUUCCUUAACACAAAAUGCCUCAUUAGACUUAUACUGCGUGAAAUGUUCAGAUGUGCGAAGGCCUUUGGCAGAUGAGGGAUGAAAGCAUGUGAAUCUGUAGAAACCCAGUAUCCUGUGGCAAGGUGGUACAAGGUUAAACUAUGUACCUGCCAAAGGAGUAGCACUAUCAUUUGAAAGGUUUUCACUUCACUGCCUACCUCCUUUCUCAAAUAUUU